rnacentral:rRNA from 1 species
UUUGCGCAUGGGGGAAACCCUGACGCAGCACGCCGCGUGAGUGAUGAAGGCCUUCGGGUCGUAAAGCUCUGUCAAGUGGGAAGAACCUGCAUUGAGUUAACAGCUCAGUGCACUGACGGUACCACUGAAGGAAGCACCGGCUAACUCCGUGCCAGCAGCCGCGGUAAUACGGAGGGUGCGAGCGUUAUUCGGAAUUAUUGGGCGUAAAGGGCGCGUAGGCGGCCGUUUAAGUCAGGUGUGAAAGCCCGGGGCUUAACCCCGGAAGUGCAUUUGAUACUGAGCGGCUUGAGUAUGGGAGAGGGAAGUGGAAUUCCUGGUGUAGAGGUGAAAUUCGUAGAUAUCAGGAGGAACACCGGUGGCGAAGGCGACUUCCUGGACCAAUACUGACGCUGAGGCGCGAAGGCGUGGGGAUCAAACAGGAUUAGAUACCCUGGUAGUCCACGCAGUAAACGGUGAUCACUAGGUGUAGCGGGUAUUGACCCCUGCUGUGCCGCAGCUAACGCAUUAAGUGAUCCGCCUGGGGAGUACGAUCGCAAGGUUAAAACUCAAAUGGAAUUGAC